GGCCUCAGCAGGCAGGUGAUGCUUCAAUCCUAGUGUAGGUCUUCUGUUCCACUCAUCUCCCUCUAGUCUCUUCCUUACAUCUUUAGUUUCACCUCUUGGCCCAUCUUACAGGGCCUUUCAGAGCUAAAGGACCCCAUCAUCUACACAGUCUUGCUGCCUUCACAAACAAAUGUGGACAUUUCUGUCCCUGGCAUUGACAUGUCCUUGAGAAUUUACCCUUCCCACAUCAGACUUGCCCCAUCUGAAGUGGGAGCCUUGGUGCUGUUCAUGUCUGGUGUCUGCUCCUGGCUGUGUUGCUCCUUCACUGGUGAUGAUGGAAUCUGCAUGAAUGACAGAGACUGACAUGGAGAUCUGGGUGGCCUGGUUGCCCAGGGAAAGGUUGAGAGUGGGCUCACUAAUUAUAUUGCUCAUUUCAGUCACUCCAGGAAGGACAGUUCAUUUAAUUGGCACCUUCUGCUGAGAUAGAAGGCCGUUAUUACACAGUCUAAUCUAGGAUGUAGAAGGUUCUGGUUUUUGCUGAGAGUAUAGGAGUUUGGCCUGGGUCUGGACCUUAGCCACAGGUCAUGAGUUGGGGCUAGGUCUCAUUGCAAGGCAGCACUAGACCUGGGAGGAGAAUGGAGGUCUCAAGUAGUCAGAGCCUGCUGUUGAGGUAGGAAAGAAUGAGAGAUUGUGUAAUGAAGCAGCUUAGGGUGAGCAGAGGAAGAGUUUCCAGAGACCAGGCACAUUCCAUAGCUGCAUCUCUGCUCCAACUUACCCUCCAAGCUCAUGGGGGAGAUGGCUGCUGAGAACCUGGGAGUCGCUCUUCCAUUUUAUGCUGCAGAAGAGAGAAGAGGGGGAACCCAGGAAAGCAAAGCCCCAGCAUAGGUGUCCUGGGACAGAGGCCAGUGACAGUGACUGCAAAGGUUCAGUGGGCCCCAUCACUUAUAGGGUGCUCCUUCUACCAAACUGGUUUCCAAAGUCACUGUAUGGGUGAGAAAGAAGGACUCCUUUGAAAGAGGAUUACUUCUAAGGGAAGUGAGAUGAUUUGUGCACAGAAGGACCUGGAGGCUUAUUUCUGCACUCAGUUUUCUGAUACAUGGAUCUGUACUCAGGGACAGGAGAACAGGAGAUGAAGGACCUACCUUCAAUGGCGGGACUGUCGUCCCUUCUUUGCUAUCUGCUAGCAAGACUCAAAGAUGUUGGGCUAAUGGAAUAAGGGUGCCAACCCAAUUAUUACUAGUGCUCUCAUUUUAUAGACUAUGCUGUUAGUCCUGAGAACACAAUGUAGUAUGGCAUUUGUCUGCCUUAUAACCCCCAGGCAGCAGGAAUUAUACCUUUUUGGCCAAUUGGACUGAAGCCCAUAGAGAAACAUAACCAUUGAACCCCACAUGACUGUCCCUUAUGUACACUAUGGGGCUCUGGCAGUUUCCCCAGAGACUGACCCUGUCUGAUCUGCACCCAGGUGGCCCACUGCCAGAGCUGAUGAUGGAUGAGAUAGCACUGCUGUAGUGUCCAGAAUGCCUCAGGUCCCAGGGAGUGGGCAGCCCAGUGAGAGUCAAGUGGCUUGUCCACCAGGAGAUGGGUCACCUAGCUCCUGUCACAAUGUGAGCAGUCUCUGGCCUUCCUAACACAGUACACUUGAUCCUCUUGUGUCUGUUCUGUUACUGGUUGUGUCCUGAAUGGGCUAAAGAAAACUCCCCAUGUCACAGUGGUCUCCUGGUCCUGUGCACCACUUUGCGGUCAGUUGCAGGAAUGAUGCAUGGGCUCCCUCAUGUUAGCAAGUGUGUGGUAUGCUCCACACUUACACCCCCAGCAGCUUCCACCAUGGUGUCUGUGGGAAGGUGCCAGUGGUGCUGUUUUUACAUGGUACCGACUGACUGUGACAAUUACCUAGUAAUCACUUAUUUUCAACUCUAUUUCUGGUCGCCUCUAUCUCUAUAUUGUGUGUAGAAAGUGCUGUCAUCAGAACAAAAUGCACCCUCAUCUCUGAUGUCACAAACCACAUCACAUUAAGCUCAAAUUAAUGCCUUGACUACUGUGUCUCUGCACGGAUGAUGCUGGAUCGUUGGCUUUGUUCCUUAGUCUCCGCGUGUAAAACAGUUGGCUGUUGCUCAUGUUGCACAAGUACUUUAUGCCUUAGCAACACUUGCCUCCCUGUGGCUGUGGAUUCUGUUUACAAGGUGCACAAAUCACUUCCUGGAUGUUGUCUACAGCCCCUCGCAAGCUCAGUGAACACUGCAGAAGAACAGGUGUGAGAUUGUAAGAGCCUAUAAGGAAGGGUAUAUAAUAAGUAGAUUUCCAGUUACCAUGACUGUAGCUGACUUGAGGUCAGACUGCUAGGGGUAUUACAGAAUAAACCUAGCUACAUUUUCCCACUUAUUCUCUCAAAUACUACAAAUAAGACAAUCCAUAGAGAGCUGUGGGGAACUCUAUAAUAAACCCUUGCUCCAGGAGUGAGACUCAUUGGUGUCAAGGUAACCAUACCCCAGGGAGGAUGGAGACCCUUAUGUCCUCACCUAUGUAGACCUCUGUGACCCAGACUUUGGCUGCUCACUGCUGCUGUCACCCAGGCCCAUGCUUCUGUAAGUCCCCCCAAUAAACUGUGCCUGUGUAA
ensembl:lincRNA Gm2762 predicted gene 2762